ensembl:snRNA U6 U6 spliceosomal RNA
AUGAUCACUUUGGCAGCAGGUAUACUAUAAUUGGAAUGAUACAGAGAUUAGCAUGACCCCAGUCAAGCAUGCCGUGCAAAUUCCUGAAGUGUUCUAUAGUUUU